UUGGGGGAUUCUUCCCAGCUGGGAUUCCAGCUGCUAAGGAGCAAGGCUUAAUGGCUGAACCCCUCUUAGGCCAAUAGGAAGGGAUGGGAAAUAGCGGCCAGUGGCACUGUGGCUGCUCCAGACCAGGUUGCAGAGCAUCCGGUGCUCAGGAACACAUCUUCACAGACGGAGGCAAAAAUCUCAGGCAGAUGCCUUCUCCUGGCAGACAUUAUCAACGACGCCAGCUCUUCUAUCUGGAAAGUCCGGAAGGAACAGGCCCUUCCCUGUGGAAGGCGGCUUUCCAAGGUGACCCAACCUCGUCCCAAGCUGGACACAGUCCUCGAGAGAGCGUUCCCAUCUUGCCCAUGAAGUCAUCACCAGCAAUCCUGCAAGGUUAGGCUGUUAUGAAAUCCGAGCCCAAGGUCUGCCCUUGGUCUGUAUCUCCAUCUUGCCUGUGUGUGCAGCCUGCAGGGGCCACGGGGAGGCCCCUGGGAGCUUUCUCUCCAAGAGCGUUGAUUUUCGGGGUGUUUAUCUGUUCCGGAAGAACCAGGCUCAGCACUAACCUGUCUCCUGCUGCGGGGCUCCAGUGCUUUUCAGAGGAGUGGGAUAUAUCUGAAAGCUCGAAACGGGGGACACAUCUCUACCUGUGAUCCUGGUUUCAGUUUAUGGCUCACCAUUCCUAUGUCAGCACCCCCACAGCGGCAGACGCAUCUUUCGUUCCUUGUUCUCAGGCCUGAGAGACACUGCCUGCCCAACCACAUCUUCGCCCAGGUGCUCCUGGUGGAGACAGGUGUGUAACUGGAAGACCGAUGCCCACGGUGGUCCAGGAACCAGGUGGACGGCCAGGAGGACCCUGCCAGGGUCUGUCCAGCUCUGUCUGAGGAAACUCAGCUAUGGGACUCACCCAGCAUCCUGGCCAAGGCUGUCACCCACUCAGGGCCCUGGCCAUGGCUGUGUCCCCUGAAGCCCUGGCUGAAGCUUCUCCUGACUGCACCCCUGCUGUGGCCAAGCAAAUGCAUAGCUCACAGCACUAACUUUCCCCUGACUCCGUGGCGGUUCUACUGCAGCCAUACCUCGCCGUUCUUGGCCGUGGAGUUAUGGUCAGCGCCUCAGUAACGGAUUCUCUCAGGAAUAUUGAAAUCAUGGCGGAGUCACGGUGACUUUUGUUUGUUAGGACUGGUUCUGUUAAUGGUAACAUUUUACAGCAAAAUUAGCCAGGAGUACUUUUGUUACGCAGGAGUUAAGACUGGGCCACAUGCUCAUGAUGCGUUUGUGCGUAUUUAUUUAUAGAUAACACACACAUGCGUAACUGCUGCUAGCUAAUAUCAAAAGGUACCUUAUAUACCCAGGAAUUUUACAAAUGCAAACAACAACAGCAGCAGCAUGGUCCCAGAACAAGUAAGCACACGCACAGUGCCCAGCUCUUGGUGUCUAAUUCCAUGCUCCAAUAUAUAAAGGACCAUAAUUCCUUAGGUCAACAACUGGUUCUAGAACCAGGCAGAAAGUGUCCAAGAUAAAUGCAAAGUGUUUAAUCUUACAAGUGGCAAUGUCCUCAAACAUUAACCUCAUGGAGGGUUCCCGGUGGUCGGAGCGAGGGAGUCUUCUGAGCAAGAGAAUAAAUGAAAUCGUAUAGUACGCAGCAGACUGUGUACAGCCAACAUCCACGAGAGACCAUGCAAGUCAGUGGCUUGGAUAAGUAAAUGGGCAAGAAGAGACACAUUUCUUGUGUAGGGAUCCACCGGUCAUGUCGGAAGUCCAUCAUCACCAAAGUAGAACUUCGCUCCCUACUCAAGGUGGGCUGUGCCUGUGACCGACUGACUGCCUUCCGAAGGGCUGGAAAUCAUGAUCUCAGCAAGGCGACCCGGACAGACAUCACAUGGGUGGCUCAGGUGUAAAGAGUCUGUUGUGGAAAUGAGUUAAUGAAGCAGCGUUUGGUCUGUGCAAACUUCCUUCUGGCCUAAGGACUAGCAAAGAGGAAACACAGGGCGCAUUGGGUAAAGAAGGAAGAGCCCGCUCUGUGAACUCCUCCAGUGGAAAUACCCCUCGGGAUCCGAUGUCUCACAGUCAGCACCACCUGACCUAGCUUCCUUCACGGCCUGUCAGCCACUGGUUUAGAUCUGACACACCCCCAAUCUCUCCUUCCGUCUCCUUUGCCUGGAGUUUAUCGCUGUCUCCCUGCUGGAUCCUUGACCUACCAUCAUGGCCUGUUCUAGGGAUGUGUGUAUAGCAUCUCCUGUGCGGCCAGUGCAGCAGAAUCAGGGCCGUGAUUUAGUUCUUCCUCACACAGCAGGUAAGCUGCGAAAGAUCCUGGAAUGUGUCACGGCUCCAAGCUAGAACAAGCUUUCCGUCUUCCAACCACAGCUGCCAUCUUUUUCCGGCUGCCUUAAACCUGGUUUUGAGGGGAGAAGAAACAGAAACUUUGGAAGUUCUGAUCAAAUGAUGAACUGAAGGUCUUAUUGUAUCUAACGUUUCCCUCCCUGCCUCCUAGGACCAUCUCAUCUUGGAGUGACUAGAGAUGGGGCUUAACCAGGAAGAUUUUGGGGCUGCCUGUGGGUGGGUUGGGACGCAGAAAUGGGAGUCCUUCAUCUCUGGGCUUACCAGCCACUUUGGUCCUCACUAUUGCUGGGCUCACUUCUCACCAUAGCAAGAGUCACAGAUUCCAAGUCUCUGCUUGGCAUCAAGUCACAUCUAGAAUUUCUACCCUGGAGGCUUCCCCACUGACGGUCUGGUUUCAAAAUCUGGGCUGUGUUUUCAAAUAGCAUUUCAACACCUUGGGGAAUGACAUCAUGGCAAGAGUGACGGUGUUAGCUCAAGUGUUGGUACAGGGGGUGACAGGGAGAAAUGACACACACCCAGUGAGUUGGCCGCUCGGUGAAGGGCAGCAGAGAAAGCGCCACCACCUCUCAGUGAUACUUUUCCACAAAGAUUUAAUUAAACCAUGGCAGGGUCAGUAUUUAUUGCAUGCUGCCAGCCUCUUCCUUUGGAUGGACACUGUGGAGUGUCAGUCGGGCUUCAGGGGCAGUUGGAGCUCCUGGGGGCGGGGCAGCAUUGAGAAUGCUGUGAAAUUCCUUCUGGGGGUGGCAUUCGGUGCUGAGUGUCUGUCUGGGGAAAGCGGCACACUUGUGCACAGUGGCUUUGCACACCAGAAAAGGGAUUCAGAGGUUGCGUUCCACAUUCAUUUUCUUCUCUUCCCCGCCAGCUUCUUCUUUCCUUUCAAGAAGGAAAGGCUAUGGCGGACAGUGGUUUCCGCCGUUACUCAAAUACAUGGUGGGUUUGAGUUAUAAUUCUUCUGUUUAGGUUAACUAUUGGCAACAUUGCUGGCUUCGCUCUUAUUUAUGGAGUACUCAUAUUAGAAGUGGAACUUCCAACUUUUUCACUCACCUCUACAAAACUCCCAGGGAGGUGGUGUUCCCGUCUCUAUUUUAAAUGGUUGAACAGAUGGA